AUUGAACGCUGGCGGAAUGCUUCACACAUGCAAGUCGAACGGCAGCACGGACUUCGGUCUGGUGGCGAGUGGCGAACGGGUGAGUAAUACAUCGGAACGUGCCCAGUCGUGGGGGAUAACGUAGCGAAAGCUACGCUAAUACCGCAUACGAUCUACGGAUGAAAGCGGGGGAUCGCAAGACCUCGCGCGAUUGGAGCGGCCGAUGGCAGAUUAGGUAGUUGGUAGGGUAAAGGCCUACCAAGCCGACGAUCUGUAGCUGGUCUGAGAGGAUGAUCAGCCACACUGGGACUGAGACACGGCCCAGCCUCCUACGGGAGGAAGCGGUGGGGAAUUUUGGACAAUGGACGCAAGUCUGAUCCAGCCAUUCCGCGUGCAGGAUGAAGGCCCUCGGGUUGUAAACUGCUUUUGUACAGAACGAAAAGGCUCUGGUUAAUACCUGGGGCUCAUGACGGUACUGUAAGAAUAAGCACCGGCUAACUACGUGCCAGCCGCCGCCGUAA
rnacentral:rRNA from 1 species